rnacentral:rRNA from 1 species
CUCUUCUUGAAUAUAUUUUGAUGUAUGGCCUGCCCACUGAAUAUUGAAGGGCCGCGGUAUUUUGACCGUGCAAAGGUAGCAUAAUCAUUAGUCUUUUAAUUGUAGGCUGGAAUGAAUGGUUUGACGAGGUGUUAACUGUCUUUAUUUUUUUUUUGAACUUAAAUUUUAGGUUAAAAUGCCUAAAUGUUUUUUUGGGACGAGAAGACCCUAUAGAGUUUUAUAUAUUUUUAUUUUUUUUGUAUGAUAAUUUCUAAUGUAAAAAUUUAUUUUGUUGGGGUGAUGGAAAGAUUUAAUUAACUCUUUUUAUUUAUUUUAUAUUUAUUUAUAUGUAUUUGAUCCAUUUAUAUUGAUUAUAAGACUAAAUUACC